CAGAAUCUCCAGCCAUGCAGGUGACAUUUAAUGUUCUGACUGCACCGCUGUGGCAGUCAGCUUGACACUGCGUAGAUUCUGACUGACCUUCUUCCAGGGCCCCCCUCCCUGCUCUAAGUCCCCUCCUUUGAAACGCUUUAUGACCUUUCUCUAGUCUGUCUUUCAUUUUCUUUGGGCCUUAACACGUGGGAGACUGCAAUAUCUCUCAGCACACCCUCAUAGGCCAGCAUCCUAACCUCAUAGCCUGUCUCCUGUUGUGAACAUACGGAGCUAUGGCGGGCUAGACCGCUCUCCUGAAUUUCUGACCUGCACAGCUGACUCUCCCCCCAGUCCUCCACAUGGAGAUUUCAGAAAGCAUCACCAGGCUAUGGCUUUUGAGGUUCUACUCACAAUGGAGCCGCCCACGUCCAGUCUUCUUCCGGUUCCAGGGGCCGAACUCAAGUCACCCAUCAACUAUGACAGCGAACUUUGUUGCCCGCUGCGCCACCUCACGGGCCUGCUUCACUUACUCUUAAGGGCAGGGUGUUCUGGUUAAAUUUUUGUGAAACACAAAACUCAUUGGACACAAACCUAGACACAUUUGGGGAGGGACGGUCUCAGGCAAGGGUGACCCAUGGGACAUGUUUGUGGGCAUUUUCAUAUAUAUAUAUAUAUAUUAAGAUUUAUUAAUUUUAUUUUAUGUGUAUGAAUGUCUCGCCUGAAUGUAUGUAAAUGUAAAAUAACCCACAUGAAUGAUUGUUUCUUCAGGAGUCAGAAGAGGGUGUUGGGUCCCCUAGAACCAGAGUCACAGAUCGUUGAGAGCCACCAUGUGGAGAAGUGAGCCAGGGUCCUCUAUAAAAACAUCAUGUGCUUUUUAAAAUACAGGGUUUCUCUCUGUGUAGCCCUGGUUGUCUUAGAACUCUCUAUGUAGUCCACGCUGGCUUUGAACUCACAGAGACCCGCCUGUCUCUGCCUCACAAGGGCUGGAUUAAAGGUGUGCACCACUGUGAUCCAAAACAAAGUGCUCUUGAUUGCCGAGCCAUCUCUUAAGGUUGAUGUGGGAAAGGUCAACCCACUGUGGUGGCGUCACCCUGGCCAGGGGUCCUGGGUGGUGUAAGGAAGCCAGCUGUGCAAACGGCAAACAGUAGAGAACAAUCGAGGAAGCGGAAGUCCUCCACGCUGGCUGCCUCUGCUCCUGCGUGAGUCCUGUCCAGACUUUACUGAGUGAUGGACAGUGAUUGGAACACGUAAGCCUUUGCUUCCCAUUGCUUUCGAUCAUGGUUCUUAAACACAGAAGAUAGCAAACCAGGACAGAGUCUCUCACUGAGCCCGGAGCUCGGGAUUCAGCUAGGCUGUCUUGCCAGCGAGCCCCAAGCAUCCUCCCUCGCUACGACUGGGAUCACAGUCAGUCACAGCACUGGGCCUGCCGUUUUACAUGGGUGGGGUGCUGGCUCGGGCCCUGCUUCCCGCCGCCUACCCCCAUCUCCCAUCCCGUUCUUUUUUUUUUUUUUUUUUUUUUUUUUUUUUUUUUUUUUUUUUAGUUUUUCGAGAGUGUCCUGGAAUUCACUCUGUAGACCAGGCUGGCCUCGAACUCAGAAAUUCACCUGCCUCUGCCUCCCAAGUGCAAGUGCUGGGAUUAAAGGCGUGUG